rnacentral:rRNA from 1 species
GAUGAACGCUAGCGGCAGGCCUAACACAUGCAAGUCGAGGGGUAGAGGUUUUCGGACCUUGAGACCGGCGCACGGGUGCGUAACGCGUAUGCAAUCUGCCUUGUACUGAGGGAUAGCCCAGAGAAAUUUGGAUUAACACCUCAUAGUAUUUUAGUGUGGCAUCACAUUAUUAUUAAAGGUUACGGUACAAGAUGAGCAUGCGUCACAUUAGCUAGUUGGUAUGGUACCGGCAUACCAAGGCUACGAUGGGUAGGGGUCAUGAGAGGGAGAGCCCGCCAACUAGUACUGAGGCACGGACGCGCAGCCUACGGAAGGCAGCAGUGAGGAAUAUUGGUAAAUGGACGCAAGCCUGAACCAGCCAUGCCGCGUGCAGGAUGAAGCAUCUAUGUUGUGUAAACUGCUUGUGUACGGGAAGAAACACUCCCUCGUGAGGGAGCUUGACGGUACCGUAAGAAUAAGGAUCGGCUAACUCCGUGCCAGCCGCCGCAGUAAAAC